rnacentral:rRNA from 1 species
UGCAGUCGAGCGGCAGCGCGGGGCAACCUGGCGGCGAGCGGCGAACGGGUGAGUAAUACAUCGGACGUGCCCAGACGUGGGGGAUAACUACUCGAAAGAGUGGCUAAUACCGCAUACGAUCUACGGAUGAAAGCGGGGGAUCGCAAGACCUCGCGCGUUUGGAGCGGCCGAUGGCAGAUUAGGUAGUUGGUGGGGUAAAGGCUUACCAAGCCUGCGAUCUGUAGCUGGUCUGAGAGGAUGAUCAGCCACACUGGGACUGAGACACGGCCCAGACUCCUACGGGAGGCAGCAGUGGGGAAUUUUGGACAAUGGGCGAAAGCCUGAUCCAGCCAUUCCGCGUGCAGGAUGAAGGCCCUCGGGUUGUAAACUGCUUUUGUACGGAACGAAAAAGCUCUUGUUAAUACCAGGAGCCCAUGACGGUACCGUAAGAAUAAGCACCGGCUAACUACGUGCCAGCAGCCGCGGUAAUACGUAGGGUGCAAGCGUUAAUCGGAAUUACUGGGCGUAAAGCGUGCGCAGGCGGUCUUGUAAGACAGAGGUGAAAUCCCCGGGCUCAACCUGGGAACUGCCUUUGUGACUGCAAGGCUGGAGUGCGGCAGAGGGGGAUGGAAUUCCGCGUGUAGCAGUGAAAUGCGUAGAUAUGCGGAGGAACACCGAUGGCGAAGGCAAUCCCCUGGGCCUGCACUGACGCUCAUGCACGAAAGCGUGGGGAGCAAACAGGAU